UAUGUGGUUUAAUUCGACGCAACGCGCAGAACCUUACCAGGUCUUGACAUACCAUUGACAGGUGUAGAGAUACACUCUCCUUCGGGCAAUGGAUACAGGUGGUGCAUGGUUGUCGUCAGCUCGUGCCGUGAGGUGUUGGGUUAAGUCCCGCAACGAGCGCAACCCUCAUUGUUAGUUACUACCAUUCAGUUGAGGACUCUAAUGAGACUGCCAACGACAAGUUGGAGGAAGUGGGGAUGACGUCAAAUCAUCAUGCCCCUUAUGACCUGGGCUACACACGUGCUACAAUGGUUGGUACAACGAGUUGCGAGUCGGUGACGGCGAGCUAAUCUCUUAAAGCCAAUCUCAGUUCGGAUUGUAGGCUGUAACUCGCCUACAUGAAGUCGGAAUCGCUAGUAAUCGCGGAUCAGCACGCCGCGGUGAAUACGUUCCCGGGCCUU
rnacentral:rRNA from 1 species